GGCCCAGUAGUUUAGCAAACUCAUGAUCGAUCUGGAGAGGCCGGGGGCGGGGUUCCACCCUCGUCGCCCGGAACCCCCUCAAUAGACCACUGAGUUGUGGGUUCAAAUCCUGCCUGGGCCA
rnacentral:tRNA from 1 species